rnacentral:lncRNA from 10 species
UCUGCAUUGAACUCUUCAUGUGGCCCCAUCUAGUAAUGAGUGCGAGUGGUCAUGUGGCAAAGACACUUUGAGGAGCCCAUCCUGGGAUGAAAACCAUGGCCAGGGAAGAGGCCACAGCAGAGAGGCAGAGGUGCUGAAACCACUUCUGCAACCACAAGGACGAAAGUGCACCUCAUUGGUGAGGGAGCGCUGGUGCCUGCCCCCAUGUGCACACAGCAGCCCAUAGCUAAGGAGUCACAGAGCUCUUACCUCAAUCCUACCUGAUCAGUUCAGCCAGAACUGAUCUCUCAGCCAAGUCUGUACCCUGGCUAGAAUGUGAUCUUCAAAAUGUGAUCCUAACCUGUUUUGUU